AGCGAACGUUAACGGCGGGCCUAACACAUGCAAGUCGAGCGAGAAAGUGGCUUCGGCCAUCAGUAAAGCGGCGGACGGGUGAGUAACACGUAGGUAAUCUUCCCUUGAGCGGGGGACAACAAGCCGAAAGGCUUGCUAAUACCGCAUAAGUUCCAGAGAACUCCGGUUCUUUGGAGGAAAGCUAGGUAGCAAUAUCCGGCACUCGAGGAGGAGCCUGCGUCGCAUCAGCUAGUUGGUGGGGUAACGGCCUACCAAGGCGAAGACGCGUAGCUGGUCUGAGAGGAUGAUCAGCCACACUGGGACUGAGACACGGCCCAGACUCCUACGGGAGGCAGCAGUGGGGAAUAUUGGACAAUGGGCGAAAGCCUGAUCCAGCCAUGCCGCGUGUGUGAAGAAGGUCUUCGGAUUGUAAAGCACUUUAGGUUGGGAGGAAGGGCAGUCAGUUAAUACCUUGCUGUCUUGACGUUACCAACAGAAUAAGCACCGGCUAACUUCGUGCCAGCCGCCGCCGUAAUAC
rnacentral:rRNA from 1 species